GUGAUAUUGUAUAUUUAACGGCCGCAGUACUUUGACUGUGCUAAGGUAGCGUAAUCAGUUGGCUUUUAAAUGGAGUCGAGAAUGAAAGGGUUUUCGGGGACUAGCUGUCUCUACUAAGCUAACUUAAAUUUACUUAAUGGGUGAAAAUUCCCAUUUUAAGAAAAAAGACGAGAAGACCCUAAGAGUUUUGACUAAACAUUUUACUUAAAAUCGAAGUUUUUGCUGGGGCAGCAAAGAGGCAUGUAAAUACUCUUUAUCUAUUUUUAGUAGACGUAUAUAAAAAGUAACAAUAAACUACCUUAGGGAUAACAGCAUAAUUUAGUGUAAGUUUGUGACCUCGAUGUUGGACUAGGGACUUUUUGGCUAGCAGUCGGAAGAGCGGGUUCUGUUCGAACUAACUCCCCUAC
rnacentral:rRNA from 1 species